GAAGCAGCGAUUCGGAGGCGGGCGCGAGAGGCUCGUGCCAUAUUUUCUUAUAGGCACCCCUAAUGCUAGGGGUUAGGAGUGUGGCGGUUUGGUCAACGGUUAGAGCGGUAGAAGUGGGGGUGGGGGCUUAGCUUAGUCUUCUCUGGGCUGGUUUGGUCCGUCGCCGGCCGCCUCCUUGGCUACCUCCUCCGGACGCUCUAGCGCGCGGACGGCCUCCUCGAGGAGAGCCGCCGCGACCGGGCGUGCAGGGGCGCGCUGCGGACGGCCCGGCGCCGCCAGAGGGGCCGGAAGGCGCGGCGCCGGCUGAGGCUGCGGCAGACCCGGGCGAAGGACGGGGGGCCGCCGGAGGGCGGCAAGCGGCUGCCCCUCGACCGCCGGGGGCGGGGCGGGAGGAGGUUCUUCCUCGAGAAGGAGGCGGAGAGGCGGCCGGGGCGGGAGGAGGGGCUGUCCGAGCAGUCGCACACCGACCUGUCCCUCUGGCCGCGGUUCACGAUGUACGACAGGCGGUCCUUGGACAGGUAGCACACCCCGCUGUGCGGCGUCAUGACCUGGACCUAGGGCGAGCUCCUGAGGUCCAAGAGGCUUCCACGAGUUGAGUCCGUACAAACGACCAAGCUCUAGGCACCCUUCUAUGUGUCGUUGGACGAAAGGGUCCUGUGUUGGAUACGGCGGAUGUACCAGAAGUUCUUUUGACUACUAGAGAUACCCGACCGUAAAGGCCAGGUCCUCCGUAGCCAGUCGCAACCUCGUUGGUUGAAUUGGGCGUUCCAAACGGAGGUUGUAUUGUUACUACUACUGUUGCUGCUGUUACUACUGCUGCUGCUGAUGCUACUGACGCCCUACGGGCUCUUGAUGACCAGGUACUCUUCCUUACCGGAUGUGUUUCUUUUACAGCGUGAGGGAGUCGUUUCCUGGCUGCCUACCUACCUCGACCUCGACCCGCUCAAGAAGUUGCUCCCCCCACUGCUGCCGCUCCACAGGAAGUCGGACUGCCUCUGGUUUCCACCCUUGACCUUCUCGCCGGAGUAGCACGUCCCGUAACUCUAGUCUGCAUUCUUUAGUCCGACUCACUCCUCGAGGAUCAUCCUAAUUUGAACGGGCCCAGUUUCAUUUACUUGUUCCUUUCGUAUAGAAGACAUCACACACAAAAAAAUUGUGAAGAGGAAAACGACGAUUUCGUAUAAACAUGUCUGCUACGAUAUGAUUGAAGAGAUAAAGAGUCGUGUUUAGAAAAAGUACAAAAACACCUGAAAAACCCCCCGAAAAAAAUUG
rnacentral:rRNA from 1 species